AUUCUGAACUAUUUCUUUCCCCUGUAUCAUCUAGGCUUACAUCCUUUCAGCUAUUAUGAUUUCUUGAAAGUAACUAGACCCCCUCUCAUCCCUCCUCCUGCUCAUCCCACCCCAGCCUUUCCCCGACCCUGGACCUACCGCAGAUUAGACUACUAGCAACAGUGGUGAGGGUUCCUGAACUUGCCUAUCCUGGUAAUCAGAUUCAUGGCUACCCUAACUGAUGGAAGCAGAUGCAGAGAUCCACAGCCAAGCACCGGCCAAGCUCUGGGAGUCGAGUCAAAGAGAGGGAAGAGGGAUUCCAUGAGCAAGGAGAGUCAAGAUCAUGAUGGGAAACCUGCAGAGACAACUGAACCAACUCAAAGUGGAACAUUUUUUCCCUUGUGUCUUCCAUUUUGGUAAGAAGUCAAAUGUUAGCUUAUGAAGUGUUCUUCAGAAACAUGUACAUCCACAAGCAUUUCUUGUAUUUUCACAAUCUCUGCCAAUACUCUAAUAUAUUCGUUCUGUGUGUUAUUUAUCUAUGCCAAUAAAAUGUCACCAGUCUCUGAUGUCACAUCACAAAA